rnacentral:rRNA from 1 species
UACGAAGGGGGCUAGCGUUGCUCGGAAUCACUGGGCGUAAAGCGCACGUAGGCGGCUUUUUAAGUCAGGGGUGAAAUCCCGGAGCUCAACUCCGGAACUGCCUUUGAUACUGAAAAGCUUGAGUUCGGGAGAGGUGAGUGGAACUGCGAGUGUAGAGGUGAAAUUCGUAGAUAUUCGCAAGAACACCAGUGGCGAAGGCGGCUCACUGGCCCGAUACUGACGCUGAGGUGCGAAAGCGUGGGGAACGAACAGG